AACAGCAAGCAUGGAAUUAUUUCUGUGCUCUGAUGGGCACCAAUAUUCAGCAUAUUUAUCAGGUUUUGAUGGGUCGUAUUCAUGGUAAGAACAUGAUGCUAGUAAAGUAGUUAAUAGGGAUAUAAAUACGUAUUUUUGUAUACGGACCAUUAAAGCUUAACCUAAAUAAAGUCAUAAUUCAUGAUGAUACGUCUGCGUUGUGAUCGUGUAAAUAAUUGAAACGUAAGAGUAUGUAAUAUUUAGCGCUGUUUAAUCUAUUCAACCAUCCAUAAACGCAAAAAGACGAGCACAAUAAUGGACAUGC
rnacentral:misc_RNA from 1 species